rnacentral:rRNA from 1 species
GACGAACGCUGGCGGCGUGCUUAACACAUGCAAGUCGAACGGGAUCCGGGCUUUCGGGUUUGGUGAGAGUGGCGAACGGGUGAGUAACACGUGAGUAACCUGCCCCCUUCUUUGGGAUAACGUCGGGAAAUCGGCGCUAAUACUGGAUAUUCUUGCUGCAUCGCAUGGUGUGGUUUGGAAAGGGUUUCUGGUGGGGGAUGGGCUCGCGGCCUAUCAGCUUGUUGGUGGGGUGAUGGCCUACCAAGGCUUUGACGGGUAGCCGGCCUGGGAGGGUGUCCGGGCACACUGGGACUGAGACACGGCCCAGACUCCUACGGGAGGCAGCAGUGGGGAAUAUUGCGCAAUGGGCGCAAGCCUGAUGCAGCGACGCCGCGUGAGGGAUGACGGCCUUCGGGUUGUAGACCUCUUUCAGUAUGGAACAAGGAUCCUUCUUUUGGGGGGUUUGAGGGUACGUGCAGAAGAAGCGCCGGCUAACUACGUG